GCUAGCAGCUCAAAAUGGAUGAAAUGCCCUCACUGCAAACAUAUUGUGCAGAAAGCUGAUGGUUGUAUACACAUAACCUGCUGGUGUGGAUCUCAAUUUUGCUAUAUAUGUGGAGAAACAUGGAGUGAAAACCAUUGGAGAUGUCAAAUUAGUGAAUGAUACCAGAUUGCUUCUAAAGAACUGGGAAGAUUGAUAAAAGGCUAAAUAAUUCACCUAAUUUUAAAAAAUAAAAAUAAUACUCCACUCACUUUU
rnacentral:misc_RNA from 1 species